CAGUACUGUGAAGGAAAGGCGAAAAGAACCCCGGUGAGGGGAGUGAAAUAGAACCUGAAACCUUGUACGUACAAGCAGUGGGAGCGAGGGCAACCUUGUGACUGCGUACCUUUUGUAUAAUGGGUCAGCGACUUAUAUUUUGUAGCGAGGUUAACCGAAUAGGGGAGCCGAAGGGAAACCGAGUCUUAACUGGGCGAAUAGUUGCAAGGUAUAGACCCGAAACCCGGUGAUCUAGCCAUGGGCAGGUUGAA
rnacentral:rRNA from 1 species